AUACGAGGGGUCCAAGCGUUGUUCGGAAUUAUUGGGCGUAAAGCGGGUGUAGGUGGCCAAAUAAGUCAGAAGUGAAAGCCCCGGGCUUAACCCGGGAAGUGCUUUUGAAACUAUUUGGCUUGAGUGUGGGAGAGGAAAGUGGAAUUUCAGGUGUAGUGGUGAAAUACGUAGAGAUCUGGAGGAACAUCGGUGGUGAAGACGGCUUUCUGGCCCAACACUGACACUCAGACCCGAAAGCGUGGGGAGCAAACAGGAUUAGAAACCCCAGUAGUCC
rnacentral:rRNA from 1 species